GCAGCCGCCGCGGUAAAACGGAGGGUGCAAGCGUUAUCCGGAUUUAUUGGGUUUAAAGGGUCCGUAGGCGGAUCUGUAAGUCAGUGGUGAAAUCUCACAGCUUAACUGUGAAACUGCCAUUGAUACUGCAGGUCUUGAGUAAAUUUGAAGUGGCUGGAAUAAGUAGUGUAGCGGUGAAAUGCAUAGAUAUUACUUAGAACACCAAUUGCGAAGGCAGGUCACUAAGAUUUAACUGACGCUGAUGGACGAAAGCGUGGGGAGCGAACAGGAUUAGAUACCCGUGUAGUCCCUGUCUCUUAUAC
rnacentral:rRNA from 1 species